AUGCAGGGAAGGGGUUACCUUUGCUAUUUGUUUUCUGUUACCUCUGUGUCAUUCAGGAGGAGUGUGGUAACAGGUCAUCUGAUGGUUGUUUUUCCUGAGAAGCUUGAAAAUGAGGGAAUGUUGCAAGAGAGUGACUGCAGGGUGCACCUGGCUGCCGGUUGUUCCUGUGGGCCUAUGCUCCUAAGUUUUUUUCUGAGGCGGUUUGAAGCAGCUGGUGAAGAUAGCACAAACGGGUGCUGCAUAUUGGACAAAGACUUGUCAACAGGGAAGGGAGUUCAGCUGGCAAAUGCUGCACAUUGA
rnacentral:lncRNA from 1 species